UACCGUCUUCUUGCUCGCUGCAGCAGUAGGUACCUUGUUGGUGGUUACGUGUUGGCCCGUCGUGGGACGUUGGAUGGUGAAGCCGCAAGAGAGCCCGUUGUUGAUGGAGUACGUUAGGUAUGAGGGUCGUCAGGCUUGAUGGUUCGGGGCGCGGGGAGUGAGGAGGGAGGGAACAGGCGGCGGUGAGGGAGGGUGGAGGAGGAGGACACGGGAUCCUCGGGGCGGUGGCUGACGAUGAGGAGGUGGCGGAGCGGAGAAGGAGGAGGAGCGGAAGGGUAGCGAACAGAAGUCCGGCGUCGCCACCAAGGGCUAGACUCGGCAGAAGUCCAUGCACCUCGCUGCCUCCAGCCGAGGGAGGAAGAGGUUCCAGCGUGCUGCCCUCUCCUGAGUCGGGGCUACGAGACGGAGAGGUACACAGAGGCGUUCGGUAGCAGACUACGGCAGCAACGGGCGGUAGUAGAAAGAGCGACGGACGAACGAUCUCUCGGUACCGAAAGGAGCGACACCGACUACGAAUACGCAAGUCAAUCCCAUUCCUGCACGUAGGGGAAGGUUGUCUAGUUAAAGAGAGUAGCGAGAAGUUCGUGACUAAACAAGAAGGGAAAGAGAAGAUUAAAAGAACAACAAGUAUGUUGGCGACGAGCCAAAGAACGAAGACGGAGAAGGCAUACGUACAGGCGUGGCAAACAAGGUUCUCACCAGCGCCCGAGUAAGGCCGCCGGCCGCGUGCGUCGGCACUCCCCACCCCACCUACUCGUUCGCCGCAGCGGCGGCGACGGAGCACGGACGCCCGCUCUUCUACCGUACGUAUACAACUACAUGGUUUAUAGUUCCGUAACGAUAUCGUCGGUAACGAAAACGGAUCGACGCUAAGGUAGAACGUAACUCUCAUACUACGAGAGUCGUUAACCUUGUUAGUUGUGGAAAGUGUUCUGAGAGGAACCUGGAACCCACUCCCAAUGGUAAAACCUUCCAUUUUAUGAUUUGGAAACAUCCACGUCUUGAUUUUUAGACGAGCUCUAUUUCAACACAAGAUCGGUACAGAAAGAAGACAACUUUUCUUAUGUGGUACGAAGUAAACUAGUGAAGACCUGCUAAGAAGUCAAACUCUUUGAGUUUUAAAGUCAUCGUUCGUACGUAUACAGCCGGUUACUACGUCCCACGUACAUAAAGUAAACCAACUGUCAAGUAUCAGACCGGCUCCUCGUUCAUGGUGGCUCCGGAAGUAGCUCGAGUUCUACACUGUCCCUCUUCCUCGUCCGCAACUCAACACGUUCGUCGUCCCCGUCUAACAAAGAAAGACUAACCAACUAGAACACCGAACAACAGGGAUCUCGUCAGCGUGGGAAGGUUCUUUCUUAGAUGUGCCCGGUCCUCGAUUUCGCCCAGGAAACCCUAUUAGCUCGUGAACUUAAACUCCUUCUCCAUCACAAACCUUCCCUACUCUCUGUUCACUAGUAACGUUAAAAACACCCUUGUAACGGGUUCUACCGCUUCACGUCCUAGACGGCGGUGAUAACCUCUGUGGAACAGUUCGUGGUGCCGAUGCGUCUAGCUUCGGCGACAGUGCACGGCUUCUCAGUGGUAGCGGUCGGUAGCCAAAGAAGACGCCGUUACCGAUUAGGUCGGGUUGAAGUCCGCGCCCGGCCAGAGGCAGCUGUUCGUGGCAGAAGACGGUGUUCUUGGCGGUGGGUAAGGCUUAGGGUCGUCCUGGUGGGGGACGAUAGGUUAUGACACCUCUCGAACUUUUUAUGACAGUGAUCCCAGGUGAUGUGGUUUCUUUUCGACCUUCUCAUGUAGUUUGGUCUACCAUUGUGUGAGUUCCAGUCUGAGCGUUUGUAGUUAGACGCGUGGUUAACAGCAUAGUACGACCCUUGUCUGUUCUCUCGGUGUUAUUGGUGUUUGACCAGCCUCAAGGUGGCGGCACGUUUGUAGGUACUUCCUGCAUAGACGUGGAAGGGAAAGUUCCAAUGGCGUCUCGUGGCGAACCGAGAGUAGCAGGUACAGGAGAUC
rnacentral:rRNA from 1 species